rnacentral:rRNA from 1 species
GACGAACGCUGGCGGCGUGCUUAACACAUGCAAGUCGAACGGAAAGGCCCUUCGGGGUACUCGAGUGGCGAACGGGUGAGUAACACGUGGGUGAUCUGCCCUGCACUUUGGGAUAAGCCUGGGAAACUGGGUCUAAUACCGAAUAUGAUCAUCAGCUUCAUGGUUGGUGGUGGAAAGCUUUUGCGGUGUGGGAUGGGCCCGCGGCCUAUCAGCUUGUUGGUGGGGUAAUGGCCUACCAAGGCGACGACGGGUAGCCGGCCUGAGAGGGUGACCGGCCACACUGGGACUGAGAUACUGCCCAGACUCCUACGGGAGGCAGCAGUGGGGAAUAUUGCACAAUGGGCGCAAGCCUGAUGCAGCGACGCCGCGUGAGGGAUGACGGCCUUCGGGUUGUAAACCUCUUUCAGCACAGACGAAGCGCAAGUGACGGUAUGUGCAGAAGAAGGACCGGCCAACUACGUGCCAGCAGCCGCCGUAACAC